AUGCACGCUGGCGGCGUGCCUAAUCCAUGCCAGUCGAGCGAACAGACGAGGAGCUUGCUCCUCUGACGUUAGCGGCGGACGGGUGAGUAACACGUGGAUAACCUACCUAUAAGACUGGGAUAACUUCGGGAAACCGGAGCUAAUACCGGAUAAUAUAUUGAACCGCAUGGUUCAAUAGUGAAAGACGGUUUUGCUGUCACUUAUAGAUGGAUCCGCGCCGCAUUAGCUAGUUGGUAAGGUAACGGCUUACCAAGGCAACGAUGCGUAGCCGACCUGAGAGGGUGAUCGGCCACACUGGAACUGAGACACGGUCCAGACUCCUACGGGAGGCAGCAGUAGGGAAUCUUCCGCAAUGGGCGAAAGCCUGACGGAGCAACGCCGCGUGAGUGAUGAAGGUCUUCGGAUCGUAAAACUCUGUUAUUAGGGAAGAACAAAUGUGUAAGUAACUAUGCACGUCUUGACGGUACCUAAUCAGAAAGCCACGGCUAACUACGUG
rnacentral:rRNA from 1 species